UAGGGAUCUGCCCUGUAGUGGGGGACAACCCGGGGAAACUCGGGCUAAUACCGCAUACUACUCUGAGGAGGAAAGCUGGGAGCAAUCCUGGCGCUAUGGGAGGAACCCGCGUCCGAUUAGCUAGCUGGUGAGGUAAAGGCUCACCAGGGCGAUGAUCGGUAGCUGGUCUGAGAGGAUGACCAGCCACACGUGGGACUGAGACACGGCCCAGACCUCCGUACGGGAGGCAG
rnacentral:rRNA from 1 species